GAUCUACUCCCUCCGUUCGGAAUUACUUGUCUCGAAUAUGGAUGUAUCUAAAACUAAAAUACAUCUAGAUACAUCCAUUUCUACGACAAGUAAUUUCAAACGAAGGGAGUAGCAU
rnacentral:pre_miRNA from 1 species